rnacentral:rRNA from 1 species
GACGAACGCUGGCGGCGUGCUUAACACAUGCAAGUCGAACGCGCCUGUCCUCUGGGUUUCUGGGGGGUGGGUGAGUGGCGAACGGGUGAGUAACACGUGAGUAACCUGCCCCCUUCUUCGGGAUAACGGUCUGAAAGGGCUGCUAAUACCGGGUAUUCACUGGUCUCCGCAUGGGGUCUGGUGGAAAGGUUUUUUUCUGGUGGGGGAUGGGCUCGCGGCCUAUCUGCUUGUUGGUGGGGUGAUGGCCCACCAAGGGUUUGCCGGGUAGCCGGCCUGAGAGGGUGCCCGGUCACAUUGGGACCGCGAUACGGCCCCGACUCCUACGGGAGGCAGAAGUGGGGAAGAUUGAACAAUGGGCGCUAGCCUGAUGCAGCCGCGCGGCGGGAGGGGUAGAGGCCUUCGGGUUGUGAACCUCUUUGGCCCGUGGUCCAGCCGCGACGUGGGUCGUGGUGAGGGUAGUGGGUAAAGAAGCGCCGGCUAACUACGUG